GGGCUUGACAUCCCACGAACCUGCCCGAAAAGGUGGGGUGCCCGCAAGGGAGCGUGGAGACAGGUGGUGCAUGGCUGUCGUCAGCUCGUGUCGUGAGAUGUUGGGUUAAGUCCCGCAACGAGCGCAACCCUCACCCCUAGUUGCCACCGGGUUAAGCCGAGCACUCAAGGGGAACUGCCAGCGUCAAGCUGGAGGAAGGCGGGGAUGACGUCAAGUCAUCAUGCCCCUUACGCCCUGGGCUACACACGUGCUACAAUGGCCAGUACAAAGGGACGCGAGACUGUGAAGUGGAGCUAAUCCCAAAAAGCUGGUCUAAGUUCAGAUUGCAGUCUGCAACUCGACUGCAUGAAGGAGGAAUCGCUAGUAAUCGCGUAUCAGCCCGGCGCGGUGAAUACGUUCCCGGGCCUUGUACACACCGCCCGUCACACCACGAAAGCUGUCUGUACUCGAAGUCGCUGAG
rnacentral:rRNA from 1 species